AUUGAACGCUGGCGGCAGGCUUAACACAUGCAAGUCGAGCGGAGAGAGGUAGCUUGCUACUGAUCUUAGCGGCGGACGGGUGAGUAAUGCUUAGGAAUCUGCCUAUUAGUGGGGGACAACGUUUCGAAAGGAAUGCUAAUACCGCAUACGUCCUACGGGAGAAAGCAGGGGAUCUUCGGACCUUGCGCUAAUAGAUGAGCCUAAGUCGGAUUAGCUAGUUGGUGGGGUAAAGGCCUACCAAGGCGACGAUCUGUAGCGGGUCUGAGAGGAUGAUCCGCCACACUGGGACGGAGACACGGCCCAGACUCCUACGGGAGGCAGCAGUGGGGAAUAUUGGACAAUGGGCGGAAGCCUGAUCCAGCCAUGCCGCGUGUGUGAAGAAGGCCUUAUGGUUGUAAAGCACUUUAAGCGAGGAGGAGGCUACUUUAGUUAAUACCUAGAGAUAGUGGACGUUACUCGCAGAAUAAGCACCGGCUAACUCUGUGCCAGCCGCCGCAGUAAGAC
rnacentral:rRNA from 1 species